CCUACGGGUGGCAGCAGUGAGGAAUAUUGGUCAAUGGACGAGAGUCUGAACCAGCCAAGUAGCGUGAAGGAUGACUGCCCUAUGGGUUGUAAACUUCUUUUAUAUGGGAAUAAAAUGUUCCACGUGUGGGAUUUUGUAUGUACCAUAUGAAUAAGGAUCGGCUAACUCCGUGCCAGCAGCCGCGGUAAUACGGAGGAUCCGAGCGUUAUCCGGAUUUAUUGGGUUUAAAGGGAGCGUAGGUGGAUUGUAAAGUCAGUUGUGAAAGUUUGCGGCUCAACCGUAAAAUUGCAGUUGAAACUGGCAGUCUUGAGUACAGUAGAGGUGGGCGGAAUUCGUGGUGUAGCGGUGAAAUGCUUAGAUAUCACGAAGAACUCCGAUUGCGAAGGCAGUUCACUGGACUGCAACUGACACUGAGGCUCGAAAGUGUGGGUAUCAAACAGGAUUAGAUACCCGAGUAGUC
rnacentral:rRNA from 1 species